UAAACAAUCUCAUAAUUUGAUCUUAGGUUAAGAGGAUUGAUCCUCUUAAUCUGAGUGUACCUACAUUUCCAUAUUUUUUUGUCAAUACCAUGCACUUGGCCUUAAUCGGCUCGGUUGUGAUACCUAACUUCUUCUCUAAUGAUAUUGGCAUGGAAUAAUGCAAUAAAAAUCAUGCUUUGUUGUGUUGGUCGUCAACCUUGGAUCAAAGUAAUGAUUAACAGGAACUAUGGGGAUCAUUAAUAUCUCAUUUUCAUAGGUGAAAUUCUUGGAUUUAUGAAAGACAACUCAAUGCAAAAACAUUUUCCAAGGAGGUUUUCAUUAAUAAAUAAUGAAGUUUGGGGCUCAAAGAUGAUCAGAUAUCAUCCCAUUGUCAACCAUAAACAAUACUAACUAAGGAUCGAUGGAUAUUUCUCUAAGGACUCUAGUAUAACCUUUUGGGAAAUCAGAGUGUUUGGGUU
rnacentral:ncRNA from 1 species